AGAGUUUGAUCAUGGCUCAGGACGAACGCUGGCGGCGUGCUUAACACAUGCAAGUGGAGCGACGAACCAGGGCUUGCCCUGGGGCAAAGCCGCGAACGGGUGAGUAACACGUGGGUUACCUGCCUCGAUGACCGGGACAACCCGAGGAAACUCGGGCUAAUACCGGAUGUGACCGCAAGGGGAAAGGAAGCUUCGGCCUCCGCAUCGAGAUGGGCCCGCGGCCCAUUAGCUUGUUGGUGAGGUAACGGCUCACCAAGGCGACGAUGGGUAGCUGGUCUGAGAGGACGAUCAGCCACACUGGGACUGAGACACGGCCCAGACUCCUACGGGAGGCAGCAGUGGGGAAUCUUGCGCAAUGCGCGAAAGCGUGACGCAGCAACGCCGCGUGGGGGAAGAAGGCUUUCGGGUUGUAAACCCCUUUCAGUUGGGACGAAGCUUCGCCGGUGAAUAGCCGGCCGGAGUGACGGUACCUUCACAAGAAGCACCGGCUAACUACGUGCCAGCAGCCGCGGUAAUACGUAGGGUGCAAGCGUUGUCCGGAAUUAUUGGGCGUAAAGAGCGUGUAGGCGGCUCGAUUAGUCCGCUGUGAAAGUCCAGGGCUCAACCCUGGAAUGCCGGUGGAUACUGUCGAGCUAGAGUCCGGAAGGGGCGAGUGGAAUUCCUGGUGUAGCGGUGAAAUGCGCAGAUAUCAGGAGGAACACCAAUGGCGAAGGCAGCUCGCUGGGACGUGACUGACGCUGAGACGCGAAAGCGUGGGGAGCAAACAGGAUUAGAUACCCCGGUAGUCC
rnacentral:rRNA from 1 species